CAGGGGGCCGAGGCAGCCGCGUUGUCUUUUGACACCGAGGAAAGUCCGGGCUCCACGAAACGAAGGUGGCGGGUAACGCCCGCCCGGCGAACCCUUCGGGGAAAGCCGAGGGAAAGUGCCACAGAGAGUAUACCGCCGAUGGCGCCUAAAGCGCACAGGCAAGGGUGAAAGGGUGCGGCAAGAGCGCACCGGGGCGCUGGCAACAGCGCCCGCAUGGCAAACCCCACCUGGAGCAAGGCCAAAUAGGGGCCUCGCGCCUGUUUUCAGGCAGGAGUGUUUCGCUCCGAGAGGCCCGGGUUGGCUGCUUGAGCCGUCCAGCAAUGGUCGGCCUAGAUGAAUGGCUGCCGCCGCGCGGCAGGUCCGGUAACGGAUACCGCGCGCGGAGACAGAACCCGGCUUAUGAGGCCCCCUGAUGU
rnacentral:RNase_P_RNA from 1 species